AUUUACGACCGAAUUACCCUGAAUGUGCCCGAUCUUGUCGUAUCUUGGAAGCAAAGUGUGUUUGAGUCUGGUUUAGCGCUCGGAUGGGAAACCGGAUGGGAAACCGCCUGGGAAUAAAAA
rnacentral:rRNA from 1 species